AGCGAACGUUUGCGGCGGGCCUAACACAUGCAAGUCGAACGGGCUAGCAAUAGUCAGUGGCGCACGGGUGCGUAACACGUGGGUAAUCAACCCUUCAGCUCGGGAUAACGCCUUGAAAGGGGCGCUAAUACCGGAUACGACGCGAGCGGCCUUGGCUGCUCACGGGAAAGAUUCGCAAGGAUCUCUGAAGGACGAGCCUGCGGCCCAUCAGCUAGUUGGUGAGGUAAGAGCUCACCAAGGCGAAGACGGGUAGCUGGUCUGAGAGGAUGAUCAGCCACACUGGAACUGAGACACGGUCCAGACUCCUACGGGAGGCAGCAGUGGGGAAUAUUGCGCAAUGGGCGAAAGCCUGACGCAGCCACGCCGCGUGAGCGAUGAAGGCC
rnacentral:rRNA from 1 species